rnacentral:rRNA from 1 species
GACGAACGCUGGCGGCGUGCUUAACACAUGCAAGUCGAGCGGUAAGGCCCUUUCGGGGUACGACGAGCGGCGAACGGGUGAGUAACACGUGGGUGACCUGCCCUCAGCUCUGGGAUAAGCCUGGGAAACCGGGUCUAAUACUGGAUAUGACUCCAUGACGCAUGUUGUGGGGUGGAAAGCCUUGUGCGGCUGAGGAUGGGCCCGCGGCCUAUCAGCUUGUUGGUGGGGUGANGGCCUACCAAGGCGACGACGGGUAGCCGGCCUGAGAGGGCGACCGGCCACACUGGGACUGAGACACGGCCCAGACUCCUACGGGAGGCAGCAGUGGGGAAUCUUGCGCAAUGGGCGAAAGCCUGACGCAGCGACGCCGCGUGAGGGAUGACGGCCUCGG